GGAGAAGUAGUUCAUACCAUGUAUGUCUGACUGACGGUGCCCGGAAAGAAGGUAAAGUGGGGGAAGGGUCCGGGAGCGAGAUUUCGACGCCGAGCAGGUAUAUGGGAGUGAGUUGGCGGCGAAAAGUACACGGAGAGAAAGUUUACCUGUCAAACACAGUGUCAUCACAUUAAAAUACGAUGAACUCUUAUUAUAUUUUCAUGAACAAGUAGGAAUCUGAAAUGUCGAUGACUGUCACUGAUUUCGUUAGUGGCGCCACUAUUUCUGACACUGUCCGUCAUAGAAAAUUUGAAUGUACUUCUACAAUUAAAUAUACUAUGUCGAUCAUAUCGUUUUUCGAAGUAUACAUAGAUUUUUCUGUUGACAGUGAUUUGAGAUAGAGUUGUUCGAAUGAAUAGAUUUUUUAUUUUGUAUAAUAAAUAAAAUCUAAAGUUUUUCUCGUUCCUGUUUUUAUUGCGUGUAUUGAAAUUUGUUAUCUUGUGUCUAUAAAGUGUUUUUAUUAAAUAAUAUGGACGAUUACGUAAAAGAAAAUUUAAGAAAUUGGAAUUUUCCAAUGCUUCAACAAGUAUUCCGAUUUCACAGUAUUGACAAGAAAAGAUUAGUCAUUCUCAUCUUCUUCAGUUGGAAAUUUUGAUUGAAGAGCAUCACGCAUUGUACGUUAAAUUAUUUGGAAAAUUAAAACCAAAAUUUCACUUUAUGCUCCAUUAUAAACGACUAAUAUUACAAAAUGGACCACUUAUCAAGACAUCGUCAAUGCGUUUUGAAUCCAAACACAGAGAAAUAAAAACAAUUUUAAAUGCCAUU